UAGAGUUUGAUCNUGGCUCAGGAUGAACGCCGGCGGUGUGCCUAAUACAUGCAAGUCGAACGCGUUGGCCCAAUUGAUUGAUGGUGCUUGCACCUGAUUGAUUUUGGUCGCCAACGAGUGGCGGACGGGUGAGUAACACGUAGGUAACCUGCCCAGAAGCGGGGGACAACAUUUGGAAACAGAUGCUAAUACCGCAUAACANCGUUGUUCGCAUGAACAACGCUUAAAAGAUGGCUUCUCGCUAUCACUUCUGGAUGGACCUGCGGUGCAUUAGCUUGUUGGUGGGGUAANGGCCUACCAAGGCGAUGAUGCAUAGCCGAGUUGAGAGACUGAUCGGCCACAAUGGGACUGAGACACGGCCCAUACUCCUACGGGAGGCAGCAGUAGGGAAUCUUCCACAAUGGGCGCAAGCCUGAUGGAGCAACACCGCGUGAGUGAAGAAGGGUUUCGGCUCGUAAAGCUCUGUUGUUAAAGAAGAACACGUAUGAGAGUAACUGUUCAUACGUUGACGGUAUUUAACCAGAAAGUCACGGCUAACUACGUGCCAGCAGCCGCGGUAAUACGUAGGUGGCAAGCGUUAUCCGGAUUUAUUGGGCGUAAAGAGAGUGCAGGCGGUUUUCUAAGUCUGAUGUGAAAGCCUUCGGCUUAACCGGAGAAGUGCAUCGGAAACUGGAUAACUUGAGUGCAGAAGAGGGUAGUGGAACUCCAUGUGUAGCGGUGGAAUGCGUAGAUAUAUGGAAGAACACCAGUGGCGAAGGCGGCUACCUGGUCUGCAACUGACGCUGAGACUCGAAAGCAUGGGUAGCGAACAGGAUUAGAUACCCUGGUAGUCCAUGCCGUAAACGAUGAGUGCUAGGUGUUGGAGGGUUUCCGCCCUUCAGUGCCGGAGCUAACGCAUUAAGCACUCCGCCUGGGGAGUACGACCGCAAGGUUGAAACUCAAAGGAAUUGACGGGGGCCCGCACAAGCGGUGGAGCAUGUGGUUUAAUUCGAAGCUACGCGAAGAACCUUACCAGGUCUUGACAUCUUGCGCCAACCCUAGAGAUAGGGCGUUUCCUUCGGGAACGCAAUGACAGGUGGUGCAUGGUCGUCGUCAGCUCGUGUCGUGAGAUGUUGGGUUAAGUCCCGCAACGAGCGCAACCCUUGUUACUAGUUGCCAGCAUUAAGUUGGGCACUCUAGUGAGACUGCCGGUGACAAACCGGAGGAAGGUGGGGACGACGUCAGAUCAUCAUGCCCCUUAUGACCUGGGCUACACACGUGCUACAAUGGACGGUACAACGAGUCGCGAACUCGCGAGGGCAAGCAAAUCUCUUAAAACCGUUCUCAGUUCGGACUGCAGGCUGCAACUCGCCUGCACGAAGUCGGAAUCGCUAGUAAUCGCGGAUCAGCAUGC
rnacentral:rRNA from 2 species